CUUAAAAGAAAUAUUAAAUUCUCUUUCACAACCUUAAGGAAACAGACCAAUUUAUUUAUAACACUUCUAAGAUUAAUUUAAAUUUUAUUAAAAGUAAAUGAAAAUGCUAACUAAUGAAUGUUUAAAGUAAAUUAUAAAAAGUUUUUUGAACAUUCAAACGUCACUAAAUCGUUUACUUGUCUAUAAGCAAUAAUAAUGAACGUCUUAGAAAUUGAGGCAGAGGACUAAUAAGCAGUUUGUUCAUCGGAUACACCAGAAGAAAAUCUAGAAGAAAAUAACGGAAUAUAGGCAUAAAAUUCAACGCGAGAAAGAAGUUACCAUCAGACCAGAAAUAUUUCUAAUUUUCUAACUGUAUGCAUCAAUAAAUUUGAGAAUUUGUUAAAGAAAAAACAAAUGAGUAAAUGUACUCAUGAUCAAAGAGUCGAGCGUAACUAAGUCGUUCUCUAAAAAUUAAGGUCUCAAGAGAGUGAUCGACUUACUGAACAGAUUGGAAGUUCAUUAACAAUGCAGAAGGGAAUCUAGAAAAAUAUAAUGGAGAGUGGAGACGGGACAAAAAAUUCGACGUAUAAAAGGAGUCAGACUACACUGAUAAAAAUUAGGGUAAUUUUACAUUUUUUUUACACGUAUUUCAGUGUUUUUACAUAAAAAAUAAUUAGAACUGUAUAUAAGCACAUCACUGAGUGCAUAUUUCCAUAGCUUAUGGCAAAAAUACAUUUUGAGUAUAUUUUUACAAUAACUCUCAAAAUUCCUAUGUGAAUUUCCAUUUAGAACUAACUGCUACCGUGUAAACGUACGCAUUACCAUUUAAAAAUACACAUUACAAUUUGUAAAUACAUAAAAAAUGUAAAUUUACAUUGUACUUUGUGGACUUAACCAAUACGAUUAACGGAUGAGGGUCAUGUGACUACGAGACCGACGCCGACCACGCUGCAGCCGACUAGCCGACCAACAUAGGUCCAAACACGGUCAUAAAUGUUUGGAUUUGCAAAUGCAUGCGUUUCCGGGCUGUGGUUUAAAAAAAAGUGUUUUAUAUUGUGUAAAAAAAGAAAAAGAAACAGGAUCAGCCGGAAAAUCCUGAACAAUUGUCUCAAUAUAUUUCAAUUUUGGCGCCUAGUAUAUUGGUGACUUCUAAGGACGAAACUAAAUAUUACAAAGUCUUUAUGGAAAAGCAAGAGAUCUAUGAGGACACAUCAUUUAUUGAAAGCCUAUUAGUGUGUUUUGGACUUUAUUCUGUAAUGAAUCUGAUUUUUCCCAAAACAGCAGCUAUAACUCUGGAGAUGUUACAAAGGUUUCAUUUAAAAAUUCAUCCUGAUUCGGGCACAAAAGCUAAAUCAACUUCAAAAGGGAAAGUUCUUACUUUGAUGAAAAAUCUUACCAAAGCAUUUUCAUAAAUUUGUUUAAAUUA